rnacentral:rRNA from 1 species
UACGAAGGGUGCAAGCGUUACUCGGAAUUACUGGGCGUAAAGGGUGCGUAGGUGGUUGUUUAAGUCUGUUGUGAAAGCCCCGGGCUCAACCUGGGAAUGGCAAUGGAUACUGGACAGCUAGAGUGCGGUAGAGGGUAGUGGAAUUCCCGGUGUAGCAGUGAAAUGCGUAGAGAUCGGGAGGAACACCAGUGGCGAAGGCGGCUACCUGGACCAGCACUGACACUGAAGCACGAAAGCGUGGGGGAGCAAACAGG